rnacentral:rRNA from 1 species
GACGAACCGUGCGAACGUUAUUCGGAAUCAUUGGGCUUAAAGCGCGUGUAGGCGGUUGCCCAAGUCGGGUGUGAAAGCCUUGAGCUCAACUCAAGAAAUGCACUCGGUACUGGGUGACUAGAGGACCGGAGAGGAUAGUGGAAUUCCCAGUGUAGUGGUGAAAUACGUAGAGAUUGGGAAGAACACCAGUGGCGAAGGCGGCUAUCUGGACGGUUUCUGACGCUAAGACGCGAAAGCGUGGGGAGCAAACAGG